rnacentral:rRNA from 1 species
ACGUAGGGGGCGAGCGUUGUCCGGAAUCACUGGGCGUAAAGAGUCCGUAGGCGGCGGGCUAAGUCGCGCGUUAAAGCCCCAGGCUCAACCUGGGAAGCGCGUGCGAGACUGGUCCGCUUGAGGGCGGCAGAGGCGAGCGGAACGUUGCAAGUAGCGGUGAAAUGCAUUGAUAUGCAACGGAACACCGAUGGCGAGAGCAGCUCGCUGGGCCGCAUCUGACGCUGAGGGACGAAAGCUGGGGGAGCGAACGG